ACAGAUUUUAGCUCAUUUCUGCUCUUCGGUUCUAACGAAGCUCGGGUUGAAGAAGCGUUCUUCAAGCUCAAACUCUGAGUCUCUGAGUGAGGCGCUUCUCCGAUCUUAGCCAGCCUACCGCAACGACACCACUUCGAUCAAUGAAGAGAAAUAAACGAGCGCCAACCAACAGAAACAGACCCCCAAAUCAAGAAGACGACGACGAUGAAGAAGAGCAUGAUCAGAAACCCUACCUUCUGCAUUUGCCAGAGCACAUAAUAAUGGAGAUCUUCUGCAAAAUCCCAACAAAAACCCUCAUCCAAUGCAAGCGCGUGUGCAAGUCUUGGCGUUCUUGGCUCUCGGACCCUCAAUUCACCAAAGAACUAUUUUCACGAACACCCGCUUGCCUCUUGGUCACUGGCGUCCGCUCGCGCUGGGGCCACUUCUUGGUCGACCUCGACAGGGCCGGGUGGCAAAACGACGUCGCCUUGAAGCUUUUCAGUAUAAGAAGUCUCCGAACUCUUUGUAUGACCAUUGUAGGCUCGUGCAAUGGCUUCCUCUGUCACUACGAAGCCCAUUUUGACUUGAGCCGUCAUCUUCACAUCUCCAAUCCAGUUACUGGUGAGUUUUUAUCUCUCCCAACACCUCCAAAUCCUGAUAGACGUGACUGUUAUGGUUUUGGGUUCAGCCCCAUCAGUGAGGUCUACAAGCUAGUUCGGGUUUUGUCUCCAUACGGAAAGCCUGACCAACCUGACCAAGUAAUGGUUUUGACUGUUGGCUCUGGCAUUUGGAGAAACAUUGGGCAUCCUGCCUACUCUUUUGAUGGUGUAACUCCUCAUGGGAUUUAUAUCAAUGGGUUUAUUCAUUGGAUUGGUCACAGUAGUAGUGACUGUUCCCGUUUGGUAUGUGCCUUUGAUGUCGAAAGCGAGCAGUUCCAAGAGUUACCACUGCCCCCUUGUAUUUAUGAUCUGGAUGAAACUUAUUUUAAGCUCGGAGUAUUGAAAGGUUGGCUCUCUGUAAUUCUUAACUUGAAUGAUGAUAUCAUUGUUUGGGUGAUGAAGGAUUAUGGAAUGAAGGAGUCUUGGACUAAAGAGCACGAGUUUAAAAAUCCAGUUGGUUUUUUUGGCAUUUCAGUAUUGAAUUUUACUGAGGAAGGGCAAGUCUUGGGGUUACAUCGUAAUCGAUUGCAGGCUUAUGCUCUGGUAACAAAGGGCCUUGUGAGGGUUGAGGUUGAUCAAUUACCUUCAGUGGUUUCGGAGGCAUGGGACCUUGUUCCGAGCUUUGUUUCGCUUAAGGAUAUCGCCAGAGGGCAGCUUGAAGGGAGAUGAAGGCCGGUUGGGUUAUCCCUAAGGGGUGUUUUGAAUUUCUGAGCACCAAGUUUGAGGCUUUGGGGAGGGGCAAGAAAGCCAAAACAUUACGGGGGUGCUUGUUGUUGGCAUUUUCCUGGAACAAUUUGGAUGGAGUGCAAUAAGAAUAUUUGAGGCUUAUAAGGGCGCGAGGGUAGAUGAACUCUGGGACAGAGUGAGUUCCUGCGAAGCUUUAUGGGCAUCGCUUUCAGCUGAGUUUAUGGAUUAUUAUCAUUCUUCUAUAAUGUUGGAUUUGUUAGCAGCUGCGAAGUGAUACUAGAUCUUUCAAAUUUUGAGGACUUCAGGGUUUGCAUCGUGUAUGAGCGAGCCCUUUACGAUCAAUGGUGGUUUAAUGACUCCAACUAUGAAAGUUCGAAGGAACAGAGUUGUUGCUCAGUACAAGGAGAAAAUAGAGAAUCUGUACAAGUAAAUCUCUUAUCCAGGAAUUAACAGAAGCAUUUUGAAGGGCAGGCAAUUUGCAUGAAACAAGUAUUGCAAAGCAUAGGUAGGUAGCCAGUCCAAUAGUUUUUCGAUUCCCCCUUUUGUUUAUUUUUUUUUAUUUUAUGCCUCUCCUAAUGAAAGGUCGAUAAAUAUCUACAAACUCACACACACGCCGAUGCGGGUGGUCAAGCCUAGGACCGCUCCUAGGAAGGGGCAAAGCCCCAGCCACUGUAACUGUGGUGCCCAGUCGCUUGAUUCCCUGUUUAGGCAAGUUCCUUGCUGUCCUGUCUCUUCAAGCAUAAUAUACUAUUUAAAUUUUUUGGAUUUAUAGUCUGUAACAGUGACGGGCAAGAAUUCUUGAAAUUUGUGUGCAUUUCUUACUUCAUUCCUGCAAGGAAGGUAAUAGUGUGAAGCAGCAGUUGGGCAGCGCACCCCGCAUAAGGUUGUAAUAUUGUCUAGGAUUGAAAUCGGCUUAAUAGUUCAAGUUCGUGUCGUGCUUAGCCUGCUUUGGCUCAUUCGAGCUCCAACUUGAGAGAACCAAAUGAAACAUGAAUAAAAGAUUAGGCUCGGUAUUGAAUUUGGUAUAUUCACUUCUAAAGCUUAUGUAUAGCUCAUGAAUAAAAGGAUGAGGUGAAGAGAAAAGGCGUAUAGAGAAAGAUGAGGCAGACAGAGUGGGAGGAGACUUGAGCGAAAAGUUUUGGACAAAAAUGCUGUUAAAAAGGUGAUAAUCUUGUGUGUCGUCCGUGAAGAAUUUUAACAAAAUUUCAGACGAAAUGUAUAUGCCUAUGUAUAUAAAUAGGACCCUUUGUAUUU